ACCCGUUGUAUUUCUCUUCUUCUUCGCUGUGAUGUCGGAAAAGACAUGGACAACAACAUUCCUAGAAAACCACUUCUAUGAGGUACAUGGGAACAACGUUACCUCGAUGAACAGCUCUUUUCAUUCUUGCUCUAGCACGCGCAACGACUCCAUAAAUGAAGAGCUAGAGAAACGCGCGCAGUCUGAUGCUUCAAACUGGAUUCUCUACAUUGACAUGACAGUAAUAGUUCCAGGUAUGGUGUGGUCUCUUCUGAUGGGAGGAUGGUCAGAUAAACACGGAAGAAAACUGUUACUACUGGCACCUCUAGUGGGCUACAGUAUUGAAGCUUUUCUGUUUCUUGUCAUUAUGAAAUGUAACUUGGCCAUUGCGUAUCUGUUUAUUGGGAAUGCGAUUGCGGGUAUUACGGGAGGAAUGACAACGUUGUUUGCUGCCUUGUAUUCGUACAUGACUGAUAUAACAAAUCCUGUCAACAGAACUGCAAGAAUGGGGAUCUUUGUCGGAAUGCUUUUUGUGGGUGGUGGUAUUGGUAGACUACUGGCAGGUAUUAUAUUGGACCACGUUGGUUCUUAUGCUGUGGAAGGAACUGCAUUGACAUGUUACAUUAUUACUGCUUUGUAUGUCACGUUGCUGAUGGAUCAUUCAUCGUCUAUCACCGCAACAGAAGAAUCGACAACAGAAGAAUUGACGACAGAAAGCGUGACGAGUGAAGGAACAACAGAGACUAUGAACAGUGAUGAUGAUGAUGAAAAGUUAUUGUCCGAUGAUAAACUUUGCAGUAUUAAAGGUUUUGUUGAAACAAUGAAGGUGUUUAAGAAGAAAAAUCGUCUAAAGCCAUCUUGGUGUCUUGUGGUGCUUAUCAUAAUGGAUGGCAUCAAUGUACUUGUUUAUAGUGGCUAUCCUGCUGUGCAAUAUUUGUAUUUUCUUGGAUAUCCAUUGUGCUGGAGUUCAAGCGUUAUUGGAUAUUAUCUAGGUCUGUUCAAUUUGGUUGGAUUUUUGAGUUCAAGCGUGAUUCUCGCUUUCUUGAACAAAGUUCUGCAUUUGCGAGACACAACAAUCAUUCUACUGGCGUCAUCUACAUGGAGUGCUUCAUUUGUACUAGAGGCAUUUGCCACAUCAACUUGGGCAAUGUUUUUAGUUCCUGUUGUCAGCUUACUGAAUGGGACCAUUCCUCCAGCUUUGCUAAGUCUGAUGUCUGGGUGUGUACGAGACACUCACCAUGGAGCACUCUUCUCGAUUGUAUCGUCUUUUGAGACACUGUGCUCAGUAAUUUCUGAGUUGGUUUUCAACCCACUUUAUGCUGCUGUCAAUAGGGAAAACAUUAACUUUCUUCCAAGUUCAGGAGCAAUCGUUUUUCUUGUAACAGCUGUGCUUAUUCUCUUAUCUCUAGUUUUGAUGACGGUUUUUCAUUUUUCGAAAGCAAAUGUGGUUUUAACACAUCCAAGGAAGGGCAGCAGACUGAUGAGUGAGAGUGAAGGUGGAGAUGAAACAGACUUGUAAAUUUUAUAUCAGACUGGGUGCUCUGCUUCGGGAUGUACAGAACAGAGGCAAGAAAAAAACGCUGAGAAGAAAGGUGCGGGCAAGAAGAGUUAGUCCAUUCCAAUAUGAUUCUUUUUUCCCAUAACACUGUGAAACUUAAAAAUUUCCUUGCUGUUGGCUUGCUGAAUGCUGCUGUUCUCCUCUGAUAAUUCAUCAUGUCUGGAUGUGUUCAAGAUCGAGACUCGCUAUAUGGAGCAUGUCCUCUUCUCAAAUUUUUGGCAUGCAUCUUUUGAGACAUUGUGCUUCGUGGUUGCUGAGUUGGUUCUCAACCCUGUAAUGUUUGCCUUUUUAGGUUAAUUAGUCUGGCUGUUGAUUAUGACAUAUCUUUGCAGUUUAGACUGUUCUCUGCGUUAACUAUAAGACAACUGUACCCCUCUAGUUCAGUUUGGUUCUGUUUUAGUCGUAAUA